rnacentral:lncRNA from 1 species
GUUAAAAUACCCUGAUUUUGAUUGCAAGUCUUCCAUAAAAACUACAGGAGCUUUUCACAUGUGCUAUGGUGUUAAUAAUCCUUGGGGAAGGGAGGCAGUGACAUAUGAAAGAGCGGUGGCUAUUGGUUUGCUUAUGCUGGUUUGUUUAUGCUGCCUUGUCUUGCCUCUCUUUCAGGUUCCAAGGGAUUAUUUGAUGAGAAGGAACUGUGCUGAUCCUCAUCUACUAAGGCAGUGGUAACGCAGGAUCUGGCUGGUAACAAGUCCUCAUCUCUGCUGAUAAUCACACUAUCUCUUGCCCACAGUACAUCUUUGUCUGAGGAACUUGGGAGAAAAUUAGAGCGAAACAGAUUUACUGGGCCGCAGGGUCUAAUUUACUGUAUUCACAGUCAGGUAUGUCAUAUAAUCCCUUUCAAAAUAUGAUCAUACUCCAUCUUUGAACUGGCUAGAAUAAGUAAUAGCAGCAGCCUCUGGGAUGCUUUCAACUUCUGAUGCCUUUAUGGGUCGUUGUUCUGAUCUCUAGUCUAAACGUAUUCAUGGUCGAUUUAUCCUGUCCUUCUUCCCUCUCCCCUUGUGAUUUGGGCAAAACAGUGCUCUGAGUUGUUCCAGCUAUUAAUGUUAAUUUCCUGUGACCUUUCCAUCCUUCACUGCAAUUGCUAACUAGGUAGCUGCAAAGAUGACUUUUCCUUCUGUAAGGAAGCUCUGUUAAUGACAUUUCUGUCAGCUUCCACAGUCGCUGCAAGGAAUCCACCUGUAAAUUUUGACUGCAUCUCUUCCUCUGAUUUGUUUUGCUGCUUAAGUUUGGUGGCUCAGAUGAAGAGAAAUCUAGGAACUUGUCUUGCAAUUCAAGUGGAAAAGACUUCCUUCCAGAGGGUCCCUCUUUGUGGUUUAACCAAGCAGGCAGCUCAGCACCACACAGCUGUUUGCUCCUUCCCUCCUCCCUGCCCCUGCAGGGGGAUGGGGGAGAGAAUCAUGAGAAAAANAAAAAAAAAAAAAAAAAGUAAAAACUUGGGGGUUGAGAUGAAGACAGUUUAA